GACGAACGCUGGCGGCGUGCUUAACACAUGCAAGUCGAACGGAAAGGCCUUUUCGGAGGUACUCGAGUGGCGAACGGGUGAGUAACACGUGGGUGAUCUGCCCUGCACUCUGGGAUAAGCCUGGGAAACUGGGUCUAAUACCGGAUAGGACCGCACUUUAGUGUGUGUGGUGGAAAGUUUUUUCGGUGUAGGAUGAGCCCGCGGCCUAUCAGCUUGUUGGUGGGGUAAUGGCCUACCAAGGCGGCGACGGGUAGCCGGACUGAGAGGUUGGUCGGCCACAUUGGGACUGAGAUACGGCCCAGACUCCUACGGGAGGCAGCAGUGGGGAAUAUUGCACAAUGGGCGCAAGCCUGAUGCAGCGACGCCGCGUGGGGGAUGACGGCCUUCGGGUUGUAAACUACUUUCGCCAGGGACGAAGCGUUUUGUGACGGUACCUGGAGAAGAAGCACCGGCUAACUACGU
rnacentral:rRNA from 1 species